rnacentral:lncRNA from 1 species
GGUUUACCCGUGGCCAGCUCUAAGCGCGACACUUGCUGGGUCCACCUAAGACCCAGGACCCCGGACUGUUAAGCUGGUGUGGAUGGACACCCGGACGCCGGAAGUUCCCUGUGGGGACUUGCUGCAGAACGGCUGAGAAUCUACUUCUAGAGGUUGAAGAACAUUUCCAAGCUCUGACUACAACAUUAAACCUCAGAAUGGAAGAGAUGGGAAGUCGCAUCGAGGACUUACAGAGAAACGUGGAUGACCUCAUGACUCAGGCCGGGAUCGAGAAUUCUAUCAAAGAACCAGCGACCUGAAGAUGUUAAACGAGUCACGUGGGAUUGCUAAAACAAAAACUACACCAUACGUCUGAGUAAUAAUAAUCUAUGCAGUAUGAAUUUUGAUGUUCAUUUAAAUUUUUUUUGGACACUUAAAAUUAAACCCAGGGCCU